GACUUUGCAGGCUGCGGUCUUACUUACUCAUGUGUUCAUGUGUGGUCAGCCACCAGAGGAUCUGUUAGAUUUAUAUGCGGGAUGGGUAGAGGUCAGAAGACUCAUAAAAGUUGGAGCAUUUUAAAAGUGACUGGACGCACGUGUGGAGAAGACUUGGACACGGUCAGCUUCUCCUUGGUCUGAAGAACCUGUCAUUCUGCCACCUCGGCCUGUCCACAGCUCUACCAAGCAGAUGUGAAGAAUGUGGGUGGAUGCCCUCAGUAAUCUAAGUCACUGACUGAUGGAGUGAUCACGGAUGUACUGACACCGGUUCAGCUGAGGUUUCAUCUCCUACAGCGUGAGGGCAAAGAGAGUGAGGUCCUCGUGCCUGUGAGGAUGAUCAAGACAGUAUGACG